rnacentral:rRNA from 1 species
UACAGAGGGUGCGAGCGUUGUCCGGAAUCACUGGGCGUAAAGGGCGCGUAGGUGGCCUGAUAAGUAGGGGGUGAAAUCUCGAGGCUCAACUUCGAGGCUGCCUUCUAAACUGUCGGGCUUGAGCAGAGUAGAGGCAGGUGGAAUUCCCGGUGUAGCGGUGGAAUGCGUAGAGAUCGGGAAGAACACCGGUGGCGAAGGCGGCUCGCUGGGCAGUGGCUGACGCUGAGGCGCGACAGCGUGGGGAGCAAACAGG